UCCAUCAGAAGCUGCAGCAGCAGCCGCAAGCCCCUUUCUCCCCCCAAAAACGAAAAGCACACACACAAAACAGGGGAGGAGAACUUCUGAGAGAGAUGAGGGAAAGGGAGGAAGCACGGCGCCGGCGGGCGUCACUGCCGCCGCGCCGCCGUGUUGCAUCAGGGAGGGCGAGUGAGCGAGCAAACAGACACGAGAGGGAGAGGAUCGCGCCGCCACGGUCGUCCAGGAGAAGCGCCGGAGAAGCUGCUGCGCGGCCCAGAAUCCGCGUUCAACUCGCCGCCGUUCAGACUCCAGUUGCUGUCACCCUCGUGCAGGCGCUGUCGCGAGGUAGCCUUGCAUCCGCCGCCGUCUUCGCGGGGCUUAUGUGUGGCCGCGGUUGCUCCUCGCCGUGGAGCCGUGUCGUCGUCCUUCAGCCAUCACCAAAGCAGAGACGCGCGAGGGAGGUGGACGCUGCCAGAAGCACCGUGCCGCCGCCGCUGCCUGUGCUGUCGUUGUCGUCGCCGACAUUCUCGAGCGCCGCCAUCAGAAAUGGUUCAGGUCGCCGUUAAUGGAGCUGGUUGGGGUUGUUCCAAGGCUUUGCCGCUGCUGCCAGCUCCUGGGUGCCGUUCAAGUCGCCGCUCCUGCCGCCCAAAACUUCGCUGCCGUCGCUGGAGAACUUUGCCGGUAAGGGUUUUAAAUUUGUGGCUUCGGUCAUUUUGAGUUUCGAGAAGGUUUUGAUGCUGUACGACUCUUCUAGUUGAUCUGCCGGAGCUUCUGGCCGCCGCCGGAGCUGUUGCCGGGCCGGUUCGAAAUCGUAGUUGCCUCAUUGUGUUGUUUCGUGUUGCUAUGGUUAUUGCGAACGUGACUGGAAGCUGAGGUUUUGGCUGCCGGAAUUGUGGUUGUGGAUUUCGGGUCGAGGCGAAAAGGACUUUUUGGCGCGUUUGAGUUAUGGAUUUGCGUUUUGAGGAUAUGGGCGCAGAAGUUACGAAGAGUUCUUUUAGUUGUGGUUGAAAUGCUUUGUAUUGCUUUAGACUAUUAUUUGUACCCUCGCCUUUAUCUUGAGAUAUUCUGUAAGAGGGAUAGUAAUUGUAUUGGAUUAUGUUUGUAAUAUUACUUAUAUAUAUGUAUGUAUAUAUAUGGAUGUGCUC